rnacentral:rRNA from 1 species
GACGAACGCUGGCGGCGUGCCUAAUACAUGCAAGUUGAGCGCUGAAGGUUGGUACUUGUACCAACUGGAUGAGCAGCGAACGGGUGAGUAACGCGUGGGGAAUCUGCCUUUGAGCGGGGGACAACAUUUGGAAACGAAUGCUAAUACCGCAUAAAAACUUUAAACACAAGUUUUAAGUUUGAAAGAUGCAAUUGCAUCACUCAAAGAUGAUCCCGCGUUGUAUUAGCUAGUUGGUGAGGUAAAGGCUCACCAAGGCGAUGAUACAUAGCCGACCUGAGAGGGUGAUCGGCCACAUUGGGACUGAGACACGGCCCAAACUCCUACGGGAGGCAGCAGUAGAGAAUCUUCGGCAAUGGACGAAAGUCUGACCGAGCAACGCCGCGUGAGUGAAGAAGGUUUUCGGAUCGUAAAACUCUGUUGGUAGAGAAGAACGUUGGUGAGAGUGGAAAGCUCAUCAAGUGACGGUAACUACCCAGAAAGGGACGGCUAACUACGUG